AUGGCACCCCAGGCAGUGAGAGUCAGCCCCAGACAUACACAGCUCCCGGGGAGAGAUGCCACCAUGUUAGUCAACAUGACAAACAUCAGCAAAGAAUUCCUUAGGAGGAGGCAUCAUGUGAAAUAAAAGUUUGAACUGAAGGGUGGACUGUUUGACAAAUGCUCCAAGUCAGCACAGCCACUGAAAGGAGUCAAAUGGAAUAAAAGGUAAAGGGUGAGAGAGUCACUUGUCCAAAUGCAGAUGGUAGAAUAUAUGUUACCUUUAGAGAGAGGCCCUUUGGCUGAUGAAUAGCUUCCUCCAGACAGGCACGGCUGUGUCUAUCUCAGGACAUGGGAGUGGGAGGAGAGGGGAGCUCUGGACGCGGCUGGUAAAUGUGAUGGGCAGCAUGAUCCUGAUGCAGAACCCAAACCUUUUUCCUCAAAACUGUAUCCAAGAAGUCACAUCUGCAGACCACGACAGAUCAGAGCAGUUGAAUUCCUGAAGAGCCAAUAACCUACCUCAGAUAUCAUUGCAGUGCUAAGCUUUCUACAAAA